rnacentral:lncRNA from 1 species
CGAUGCCAAUGUUGUCGCCUCCACCUCCGCCUCUGUCACAAUUUCCUAUGGUAUGUCACCUCCACCUCCGUCUCAUAUGCCUUAUGUGUUAAAAUAAAAAACUUAGUGGUUAAUAUUUCAUGUGUGUGUUAUAGGGAUUUCAAACACCACCCGCUUCAGUUGCCGCACCUGGAGAUGGGUCUGGUCAAUAUGACGCAUCGUAUUUUUGGGUGAACAACCUUUUCAACACCCAUAGUCCAGCUGGAGGAAGUGGCUAUAACUCAAACCAACCAGGUGAUGGAUAUGAGUGAUAGUUCAUCAAAUGCGUUUGAUUUGAAACUAUGUGACUAUUCAUGUCAAAGACUAUGUGUCGAACUAUGUCAGUUUUUAAUUUGAAACUAUAUGUUGAUGUAAAAAAAUUGUUGCAACUAUUUGGAACUAUAUGUUUGUGAAUAUGAGGUGAUGUUAAAUUUGUGAAUGUGAAUACUUAUGUGAAUUGAUGUUUGUGAAUGUAAUUGUGAAUGUGAAUAUGUGGUUGUAUAUGCAAUCUGUGUACAUGUGUAUGCAAUCUGUGAUUUUUUCUGUAAAUGUCAGAAAUUUAUAAAAACAAUAUUUUUUGCAAUUGCUGAAAUUCGUUAUGUCCGACGGCUUAGUUUAGGCCAUCGGACAUAAGACCCUGUUAUAUCCGACGACCUACACUAAGCCGUCGGACAUAAGAGUUGUGGGUCCCGUCCGUGGUCGUUAAAACGGUUACCGAGAACUAUCUCCGACGGUCUGACGUGGCCGUCGGAGUUACGUUAUGUCCGACGGUCGCUGUCGAACAUAACGCUAUUUUCGAUUUAUUAUGUCCGACGGCUAAAGACUGUCGGAGAUAACGCAAAACCAUCGAAAAUAGUCUAUUUCCGACGGUUUCGUGCUUAUGUCCGACGGCUUUGACCGUCAGAGAUUUUAUGUUUUACUGUAGUGAAAUAUAAUGUAAGGGCCUUUCUCUUUGGCAAACUAGAAUGCAUCCUGGACAAUUGCUUCAUCACCAAUAAACAUCUGAACCAGCAAGAACACCGUUACUAUCCUACUUGAAAAUAUAAACUAUGCUCAAGAUAACAUCAGAAUAGAAAAUAUUUUCCAUGGUAAUGCAAUGUCUCCAAUGUAUCUUCAAUGAAAAUGGACCAAAUUUCAAUGUUAGUCAUGCAAUAAGACUAAUAUUUUAGUUAAACAACUAAACCAUGCAACGUAUCAUAGAGACAAGGAAUUAUAUACAAAAUCCUAACAAUUCAUCAUGCACGGCAUAUAACUGGCAACUGAUUAAACUUCGACAAAUAAACUUUGGACUGACAAGCUCCAUAAUAACAGAAAGAUAAAAUGCACAGAUCUAUUUUCUACAAUAGUAACAAUAUUGUAUGUACAAAAAAAAAAUAUUAAGACACGCAGGAACACACUAUCCUUAGCAGGGGCGGGCCGGCAAAUUUAGAGGCCUUGUCCUAAACUUCAAAAGAGGCCCUAUUUUAUAGAAAAAAUAUAAUCGAAAUUACAUUGUAAUAGAAUUCAUGUAUUCUGAAUUACAAAAGGUUUACUAGAUAACUCUUAUAACUAUUUAUAUUAAAUCUAUCCGUUUUUACGAAUUAUAUUGUAAUAGAGCAUAUAAAGAAACAUACGUAUUAAUAGAUGUAUUUGAAGAGCAACAGUCUAGCUGCUAACUGAGUUCAACUUAGAUGGUGUAAUGUUAGUUUACUUAUUGAUACAUAUUAUUGAGAUAAGAAGUUUUUUAGGCCCUCAGAAUUUUAGGCCCUAUGCGGUCGCAUUUGCCGCACGUGCAUGUGGCCCGGCCCUGAUCCUUAGUUAAGUUAACAAAUAAACUAUGUUCCGUAGGUAGAAAAGCACCAAGAGUCCAAGACAUUCAAAACUUGCUUCUAAGAACAUUUGCAUAAGGAAACAUUGCUUUAAGACCAUGCUAUAGUACAGGUGACAACUGAAAAAAAAACAAAAUAAUAGCAGUUCCUGAAAUGGAAACCGAGAAGAAACAAAAAAAUAUUUGUCUACAUAAGAAAAGGAAAUUAACCAAGAUGAUGCACCCCGUCCGUGCUUAAUAGAUAUUCUCUUGGUUCUCGAAUAUUUGUCGUCCGCUAGUUCACUUUUAAACUAAAACACGAUAAAUAAAAAACGGAUAGAGUAGUAGAGAUAAGUUGGAUUUUUAUAAUCCUAAAAGCAAACAAACGAGGCUAAAACCAGCGCCACCAACACAAAUGAUUAGAUCCCACAGUGCAAUCGAUAGUCUGCAUGGACCGUUGCACCCCAUGUUAACCCCACAGAAGUACUUUGAAGGGAACCUAAACCCGAGACCUUCAGUAAAAUCAGGAUCACAACUGUUGGUAGUGGUACGGACCACUUUUUAUCUACCAUUUGUCUACUAACUCCUCAUUUUGUGGUCACCGGUUACUAUUUGGAGGUUAUUUCUAUUCACCGAGAGGUUAAGCAUUGCAAUGCAUUUUGAGUAGAUACACAUCUAAGUAAAACCAAACAGAUGUCGCUAGGACACUUUUAUUUAUUUAUUUACAUAGAUCGCGCAGCAUCCACCCUUCAAUGUUCUACACUGCCUGCUGGCCACAAAUCUGCAUUCCGUGAUCCAGCAAGAACCCAUGUGCGCACAAUCGUCUGGAAAUUCCAGCUUGCUCAAGGCACUACGGUGCCCCUCAAGUACGAUUGGUUGAAUAAUAACUAGAGAGGAACACUCAAACAUCCAGACGAUAAAGACAUGGAGGCAGAGGAAAACAAACCUGCGCCCACGAGGCCAGCACAAGAUCUAUGUCACGAACGGCACCGGCAGCAAAUCAGGCAACCCCAUGAGUUCGGUGGACAGCGGUAGCCGGUAGCCCCAAACCAAGGGGGACGGACUGAGGAACACAGAGAUGGAGAAAUUGCAAAGCCCCCAAAUGCGAAUAGUGGAUGGGGAGGACGGGGAAGCAGACGUUAAAGGCAUGAAGGUACAAAUCUCUGGCCGAUCACAGCGCCGACUCCCAUCCUCGACAGUGCCGAGACGUGCGGGAGAGGUCGGCGAUGCAGAGCACGUGACCACGCCCUGCCUUGCAUAUAUCCUCUCUCACAAUAGCUGAACAUGGUCCUACGUGGAUGCAAGGGCCCACCAGAGCUGCGACAGAUCGACCUCUUCUCGGUGACGAAGGCGAGCACGGGCUCUUCUCGGUGACGACGUAGCGUGUGGACGAAGCGCGACCGGGUUAGAACGGAUGCUGGCCCCGGCGGUGGAGUGGAACCCACCGUCGCGUUCACCGGAGGGGGGCAACGCUUGUGGCCCCUCACCGGCCACGAUGGAAGGCAAAAUGGGACGCGGCGCAGACUGGUUUGGUGUGGACGGUCGCCUCCACCGAAGGGCAGCG